rnacentral:lncRNA from 1 species
UCCCUAUACGGUCUCAGUGCCCCAGGUCUUUGCACAAGCGGGGUCUAUCUUCAGGAUGCUAUGAUCCAGGGGCAAGGAUGAGUAAUGUAGAGGGCAGUUUCUUCCAGAGGUAAGAAUGAGAGCCAGAGCCUGGCAUGGUGGCUGUGUUUUAAAGCAUUACAUUUAUGUGUGUACACACAUGCACACAUUCUACAAUAUGCAUGUGAACACAGGACAGGAGUCAGCUAUCUCUACAAGGUCUGGAGAUUUAACUCAUCAGCCUUGGUAGCAACCACCUUCAUCCACUGGGCCAUCUCAUUGGUCCUCUUAGAAGGCCAUAUUAGAGCAAUAACUCAAGUUGAGAGUCAAAUAAGAAACUCCUGGGGGUGGUGAGAAACUCAGCAGUCAAGAAAGAGGACAUUUCUUUCAGAGGGCCUGAGUUUGAUUCUUUGAAGCCUCCGGGAGCUCCAGCCUCUGGGGCUCUGAUGUCUUUAGCAUCUGUAGGGUCCUCCAUUCACGCUCACAUAGCCACACACAUAUAUAUGCCCAACUUCACUUAAAAAAAUUCGCCAGGCAUGGUGGUGCACACCUUUAAUCCCAGCACUCAGGAGGCAGAGGCAGGAGGAUUUCUGAGUUCGAGGUCAUCCUGGUCUACAAAGUGAGUUCCAGG